UACAGAGGUCUCAAGCGUUGUUCGGAUUCAUUGGGCGUAAAGGGCGCGUAGGCGGUGCCACAAGUCACUUGUGAAAUCUCCGGGCUUAACUCGGAGCCUGCAGGCGAAACUGUGGUGCUGGAGUGUGGGAGAGGUGCGUGGAAUUCCCGGUGUAGCGGUGAAAUGACGUAGAUAUCGGGAGGAACACCUGUGGCGAAAGCGGCGCACUGGACCAUAACUGACGCUGAGGCGCGAAAGCUAGGGGAGCAAACAGG
rnacentral:rRNA from 1 species